GACGAACGCUGGCGGCGUGCCUAAUACAUGCAAGUCGAGCGGAAUGAAGAAGAAGCUUGCUUCUUCUGAUUUUAGCGGCGGACGGGUGAGUAACACGUGGGCAACCUACCUUGUAGAUUGGGAUAACUCCGGGAAACCGGGGCUAAUACCGAAUAAUCCAUUUUGCUUCAUGGCGAGAUGUUAAAAGGCGGCUUCGGCUGUCACUACGAGAUGGGCCCGCGGCGCAUUAGCUAGUUGGUAGGGUAAUGGCUCACCAAGGCGACGAUCCGUAGCUGGUCUGAGAGGGUGAUCGGCCACACUGGGACUGAGACACGGCCCAGACUCCUACGGGAGGCAGCAGUAGGGAAUCUUCCACAAUGGACGAAAGUCUGAUGGAGCAACGCCGCGUGAGUGAAGAAGGUUUUCGGAUCGUAAAACUCUGUUGUAAGGGAAGAACACGUACGAGAGUAACUGCUCGUACCUUGACGGUACCUUAUUAGAAAGCCACGGCUAACUACGUG
rnacentral:rRNA from 1 species